rnacentral:rRNA from 1 species
AUUCGGCUUAGAGUUUGAUCAUGGCUCAGGAUGAACGCUGGCGGCGUGCUUAACACAUGCAAGUCGAACGAAGCGCGGGUACCAAAUCCCUCCGGGGAGGAGGAACCCGCGACUGAGUGGCGGACGGGUGAGUAACGCGUGGGCAACCUGCCCCGUACAGGGGGACAACAGCUGGAAACGGCUGCUAAUACCGCAUAAUCCCGGUGGACCGCAUGGUCCAAUGGGGAAAGCUCCGGCGGUACGGGAGGGGCCCGCGUCUGAUUAGGCAGUUGGCGGGGUAACGGCCCACCAAACCUACGAUCAGUAGCCGGCCUGAGAGGGCGGACGGCCACAUUGGGACUGAGACACGGCCCAAACUCCUGCGGGAGGCAGCAGUGGGGAAUAUUGCACAAUGGGGGGAACCCUGAUGCAGCGACGCCGCGUGGACGAGGAAGUAUUUCGGUACGUAAAGUCCUGUCAGCGGGGAAGAAAGAAAUGACGGUACCCGACCAAGAAGCACCGGCUAAAUACGUGCCAGCAGCCGCGGUAAUACGUAUGGUGCAAGCGUUAUCCGGAUUUACUGGGUGUAAAGGGAGCGCAGGCGGCGCGCCAAGUCCGGUGUGAAACCCCGGGGCUCAACCCCGGGCUUGCACUGGAAACUGGCGAGCUUGAGUGCCGGAGGGGUAGGCGGAAUUCCUGGUGUAGCGGUGAAAUGCGUAGAUAUCAGGAGGAACACCGGUGGCGAAGGCGGCCUACUGGACGGCAACUGACGCUGAGGCUCGAAAGCGUGGGGAGCAAACAGGAUUAAGCCGAAUU